UACGUAGGGUGCGAGCGUUAAUCGGAAUUACUGGGCGUAAAGCGUGCGCAGGCGGUUUUGUAAGUCAGAUGUGAAAUCCCCGGGCUUAACCUGGGAACUGCGUUUGAAACUACAAGGCUAGAGUGUAGCAGAGGGGGGUGGAAUUCCACGUGUAGCAAUGAAAUGCGUAGAGAUGUGGAGGAACACCGAUGGCGAAGGCAGCCCCCUGGGUUAACACUGACGCUCAGGCACGAAAGCGUGGGGAGCAAACAGG
rnacentral:rRNA from 1 species